rnacentral:rRNA from 1 species
CCUACGGGUGGCAGCAGUGGGGGAUAUUGCACAAUGGGGGAAACCCUGAUGCAGCGACGCCGCGUAUGGGAAGACGGUCUUCUGGAUUGUAAACCACUGUCCCCAGGGACGAAAAUGACGGUACCUGGGGAGGAAGCUCCGGCUAACUACGUGCCAGCAGCCGCGGUAAUACGUAGGGAGCAAGCGUUGUCCGGAAUUACUGGGUGUAAAGGGAGCGUAGGCGGGGAUGCAAGUUGGGUGUCAAAACUACCGGCUCAACCGAUAGUCGCACUCAAAACUGCAGCUCUUGAGUGAAGUAGAGGCAGGCGGAAUUCCUAGUGUAGCGGUGAAAUGCGUAGAUAGUAGGAGGAACACCAGUGGCGAAGGCGGCCUGCUGGGCUUUUACUGACGCUGAGGCUCGAAAGUGUGGGGAGCAAACAGGAUUAGAUACCCGGGUAGUC